GUUACAUUUUGACAAGAAACUGGUCAUGCUUUCCACAGCAAACCCACCAAACAACACAUCCACUGGUCCAUAUAGGGAUCACCUUGACGCCCAAGUAUCCAAUCCAAGGUGUGAUCUCGAAAGUGGCAAGGAUCCGGUACUGAAUAUGCAUGGGCAGCAGAACAGAGAGAAAAGAAGAAAGCAGUUGGGGAAAGUAGCCACAUGAAACAGACUUUGAAGAUAUUUAUGGAUCAAGUGUGGAAAGUAUAAAGCAGAUCCCCACUGAAAGGCGACUCUACUGUGACAUUUUCAUUGCAAUUGGUGCCUUGAAGGAGUCAGCGGAAAGUGUAAAGUUCCAGGUUUUGUCUUUAUUAUAGCAGCACAUGUUGGGACCCUGCUUACCCACCCAAAGAACAGCAGUUGAUUCUACUUCUACAAUUUUUACAAAUAGCAAAGGCACUGAGGAACUGGCACCUAGC